rnacentral:rRNA from 1 species
AUGUUGAAACACAGAAUCCUAGGCCUCGUUGUUGAGCUCGAGCGCACAAGGAAGAGGCAGGCAUCGCGCAUCACCUGGCUGCGCGCUGGCGACGCAAGCACUAAAUUGUUCCAUGCCAAGCUAAUUUCGAGGACAAGAAAAAACCACAUUCAUUCAUUGCAGGAGGGGAGCCACGUUGCUGCUGAACAUGAUGAAAAGGCUCGGAUCAUCCAUGAUCACUUCUCAAACCUGCUUGGGGGUAGGCAUGCACGGUCACACACGAUAAACCGGGAGGAGUUGAAUCUGCCAUAAGUCGAUGGGGCAGGGUUGGAUAUGCCGUUCAUUGAAGAUGAGGUCUGGAAUGCUAUCAAAAUGUCUCCUAUCGAGAAGGCACCAGGGCCAUAUGGAUUUCGGGAGGGGGAGUUCUACAGAGCUUGCUGGCCAAUUAUCAAAGAUGAUAUCAUGCAUGUGUUUCAGAAGUUCUAUCAUCUGGGAGGUGCAAAUGCAAGUCAAUCAACACGACCAUGA